UUUGAGAUAGUUAAACAGUAAAUUGAGUAUUGUGCAGUGUCAUGGCGUCUGAGUACAUUCCUACUGAUGGUAAUUUGCAAGCCAAAAGAUGAAUCAAGUCAAAUAGGCAAGGAUGAGGAGUAACUGAAAUGUUAAUUAAACAAAGACUCAGAUGUCCUUAUGAUUUAUGAGAUAUACUGAACGCAUUUCAUCUAACGAGGUACCUAUACUAUAGGGUUAGUUCACAAGAGAUUGAUUUAAUGCAAUUCCUGUUGUUUAUAUUGAUAUCGUCAUAUGCAUAAGUCAACAAACACCCCAAAUAAUAUGUAUAAAAAAAAUGAGAGAACACCUUAAUGAAAUUGAAGGAGACAUGAUCUUAACUUCGUAAAAAAAGAAGUGUCCAAAUAGCAAGCCCAUAGAAUCUAACAAAAAAGUUAUGGCCCGAUAUAGUGUGAAAUAGAAAAACAAGAUUCAUACAGCCAGACUGUAGAAUAGUAAAAACGUCACAUUGUUAUUCAGGUUCAUUCUUGUCAAAUGCUUCAUGAAAAUAACAAAGAAUAAUAUUCCCAUAUAAGCUAACAACAGCCAUAAUAAAUGUUAAUUAAACAAGAAUAAUAUUCUUAUUAACCAUAAAGUUAUGGCCCGAUAUAGUGCAAAAUAGAAAAACAAGAUUCAUACAGCCAGACUAUAGAAUAGUAAAAACAUCACAUUGUUAUUCAGGUUCAUUCUUGUCAAAUGCUUCAUGAAAAUAACAAAGAAUAAUAUUCCCAUAUAAG
rnacentral:lncRNA from 1 species